AGCGACUCAGAUACAGAGAGGUUUUAUAUAGGAGGUAGAUGUAGAGAAAGGAAGGGAGGAUGGGUGGAAUUUGCAUAAGGUGUCUACUGUGAUGUUGAACUCAUCCAGUCUGGUCCAGUGGUUAUCAAACCAGGAGWGUCUCAGCAUCUCCUGAAAAUUCUCUGGGUUUUCUAUAUAUUCUCAAUGUCCUCACMGGAUACGACAAGCUGAAAGCAAAGCUUUGGAGCAUGUUGAUCUUACAUGUAUUAGUAGUACUUCCACUGUAGAUUCACUAAAGAUCAAGAUCACUUCUAGAUAUGACAGCUCCAGCAGGUAUAAAAGGACUGGGAAUAUCAUUGCAAAAAGGGGGGAAAUGGAGAUACUCACAGGAGGCAACUGCCAGAAGCAGCAGAGAUGCAGGGAACAUGGMUUGUGUUGAAGCUGAACUGAUGUGAGCUGCUGAGGGAGAGGGAGAGAGAGAGUUAGAUCACAUUUGCAUAAUCAAGAUAAUCAGGUAUAAAGGACUGGGAAGAUCAGUUCAAAUUGGGGGGGAAAUUCUGUGGUAAUGUGUCAGAUUCUAUCACUACACUUAUGGGAGAUGAAACUCUAGGAUGGUUAACCAUUGUUUUCUUAUUAUUGAUAAUCCUACUGUAUACUAUAUGUAUCAAGUUAUUUUUGUGACAACUGUACAG